rnacentral:sRNA from 1 species
GACCCUGUAUGUGUGCGUGUGCAUGUGU